rnacentral:rRNA from 1 species
GACGAACGCUGGCGGCGUGCUUAACACAUGCAAGUCGAACGGAAAGGCCCUGCUUUUGUGGGGUGCUCGAGUGGCGAACGGGUGAGUAACACGUGAGUAACCUGCCCUUGACUUUGGGAUAACUUCAGGAAACUGGGGCUAAUACCGGAUAGGAGCUCCUGCUGCAUGGUGGGGGUUGGAAAGUUUCGGCGGUUGGGGAUGGACUCGGGGCUUAUCAGCUUGUUGGUGGGGUAGUGGCUUACCAAGGCUUUGACGGGUGGCCGGCCUGAGAGGGUGACCGGCCACAUUGGGACUGAGAUACGGCCCAGACUCCUACGGGAGGCAGCAGUGGGGAAUAUUGCACAAUGGGCGGAAGCCUGAUGCAGCAACGCCGCGUGCGGGAUGACGGCCUUCGGGUUGUAAACCGCUUUCGCCUGUGACGAAGCGUGAGUGACGGUAAUGGGUAAAGAAGCACCGGCUAACUACGUG